AUUGCAAGACACCUACUCAACCCAUCAAGCCACAGUCGCCCAAGAGGUAAAGACCCCGGACCAAAUUCUUGGAUUCAACCGCUGUUACUUCCACCUGCCUGUAAUCACUCGUGUAUAACUCUGGACUGUCUCUUGGAUAACCCUCCAGCUGAUAGCUGCUUCUGGAGCUCUGCUCUGGCUGCCAAAUUACCAUCAACUUAUCACUCGGUCCCACUACUUGGAUUCAGUGCCACCUCCCGGAUACAAGAAAGUCUAGCUGGGAAUCUCCUGCCCAUGGCUAUGACUGGGCUGCCUCGUCAUCACCAAUUGCCACACCCUGCUGAGGAAGAAAGGACAACCACCAUGACCUUCAAGCUCAGCCCUGCAUCCUUUUCCC